CCGUGUAGAGGGUUUUCCUUUGGUUAUAUUGAAUAUCCCUCUUAUUUAGAGUAUAGAUUCUCAUGUUAUACCUGCUUCUAUUUUGGGUACUUCUCAAACCUCGAAUACAAUUUCUAUUUUAGCACUGAUAAUUAAGCAUGAUGUUCUAAGAUUGGGAGUUCAACCUUCUUCUAUGUUACCUCCUCAGAUGGGACCUCAG
rnacentral:lncRNA from 1 species